AUUGAACGCUGGCGGCAUGCCUUACACAUGCAAGUCGAACGGCAGCGGGGACUUCGGUCCGCCGGCGAGUGGCGAACGGGUGAGUAAUGUAUCGGAACGUACCAUUCAGUGGGGGAUAACUAUCCGAAAGGAUAGCUAAUACCGCAUAUUCUGUGAGCAGGAAAGCAGGGGAUCGCAAGACCUUGCGCUGAUUGAGCGGCCGAUAUCAGAUUAGCUAGUUGGUGCGGUAACGGCUCACCAAGGCUACGAUCUGUAGCGGGUCUGAGAGGAUGAUCCGCCACACUGGGACGGAGACACGGCCCAGACUCCUACGGGAGGCAGCAGUGGGGAAUUUUGGACAAUGGGCGCAAGCCUGAUCCAGCCAUGCCGCGUGAGUGAAGAAGGCCUUCGGGUUGUAAAGCUCUUUCGGCCGGGAAGAAAUCGCAUCAGCUAAUACCUGGUGUGGAUGACGGUACCGGAAUAAGAAGCACCGGCUAACUACGUGCCAGCCGCCGCAGUAACAC
rnacentral:rRNA from 1 species